GACGAACGCUGGCGGCGUGCCUAAUACAUGCAAGUUGAGCGAUGAAGCUUGGUGCUUGCCCCAAUUUGAAGAGCAGCGAACGGGUGAGUAACGCGUGGGGAAUCUGCCUUUGAGCGGGGGACAACAUUUGGAAACGAAUGCUAAUACCGCAUAACAACUUUAAACAUAAGUUUUAAGUUUGAAAGAUGCAAUUGCAUCACUCAAAGAUGAUCCCGCGUUGUAUUAGCUAGUUGGUGAGGUAAAGGCUCACCAAGGCGAUGAUACAUAGCCGACCUGAGAGGGUGAUCGGCCACAUUGGGACGGAGACACGGCCCAAACGCCUACGGGAGGCAGCAGUAGGGAAUCUUCGGCAAUGGACGAAAGUCUGACCGAGCAACGCCGCGUGAGUGAAGAAGGUUUUCGGAUCGUAAAACUCUGUUGGUAGAGAAGAACGUUGGUGAGAGUGGAAAGCUCAUCAAGUGACGGUAACUACCCAGAAAGGGACGGCUAACUACGUG
rnacentral:rRNA from 1 species